CAACUUUCAACAACGGAUCUCUUGGCUCUCGCAUCGAUGAAGAACGCAGCGAAAUGCGAUAAGUAAUGUGAAUUGCAGAAUUCAGUGAAUCAUCGAAUCUUUGAACGCACAUUGCGCCUUUUGGUAUUCCGAAAGGCAUGCCUGUUUGAGUGUCAU
rnacentral:rRNA from 4 species